rnacentral:rRNA from 1 species
UACGUAGGGGGCAAGCGUUAUCCGGAAUCAUUGGGCGUAAAGCGCGUGUAGGCGGUUCUGUAAGUCCGCUCUGAAAGCCCAGGGCUCAACCCUGGGAGGCGGGUGGAUACUACAGAACUGGAGUACGGAAGAGGAGAUUGGAAUUCCUGGUGUAGCGGUGAAAUGCGCAGAUAUCAGGAGGAACACCAACAGCGAAGGCAGAUCUCUGGGACGUUACUGACGCUGAGACGCGAAAGCGUGGGGAGCAAACAGG